GUGUCAGCCGCCGCGGUAAUACGUAGGGACCGAGCGUUAUCCGGAUUCAUUGGGCGUAAAGAGCUCGUAGGCGGCUAUCCAAGUCGAACGUGAAAUCUCGGAGCUCAACUCCGAGCCUGCGUUCGAUACUGUAUGGCUAGAGUCUGGUAGGGGGAUCUGGAAUUCCUGGUGUAGCGGUGGAAUGCGCAGAUAUCAGGAGGAACACCGGUGGCGAAGGCGGGAUCCUGGGCCAGUACUGACGCUGAGGAGCGAAAGCGUGGGGAGCAAACAGGAUUAGAUACCCCAGUAGUCC
rnacentral:rRNA from 1 species